rnacentral:rRNA from 1 species
CAGGUAGAUAGGUUAGAAGUGGAAGCGUAGUGAUACGUGAAGCGGACUAAUACUAAUCAGUCGAGGACUUAACCAAG